GACGAACGCUGGCGGCGUGCUUAACACAUGCAAGUCGUACGGUAAGGCCCUUUCGGGGGUACACGAGUGGCGAACGGGUGAGUAACACGUGAGUAACCUGCCCACAACUUUGGGAUAACGCUAGGAAACUGGUGCUAAUACUGGAUAUGUGCUCCUGCUGCAUGGUGGGGGUUGGAAAGCUCCGGCGGUUGUGGAUGGACUCGCGGCCUAUCAGCUUGUUGGUGGGGUAGUGGCCUACCAAGGCGGCGACGGGUAGCCGGCCUGAGAGGGUGACCGGCCACAUUGGGACUGAGAGACGGCCCAGACUCCUACGGGAGGCAGAAGUGGGGAAUAUUGCACAAGGGGCGCAAGCCUGAUGCAGCAACGCCGCGGGCGGGAUGACGGCCUUCGGGUUGUAAACCGCUUUCAGCAGGGACGAAGCUUUUUGUGACGGUACCUGCAGAAGAAGCACCGGCUAACUACGUG
rnacentral:rRNA from 1 species